AUUGAACGCUGGCGGCAUGCCUUACACAUGCAAGUCGAACGGUAACAGGUCUUCGGAUGCUGACGAGUGGCGAACGGGUGAGUAAUACAUCGGAACGUGCCUAGUAGUGGGGGAUAACUACUCGAAAGAGUGGCUAAUACCGCAUGAGAUCUACGGAUGAAAGCAGGGGAUCGCAAGACCUUGUGCUACUAGAGCGGCCGAUGGCAGAUUAGGUAGUUGGUGGGAUAAAAGCUUACCAAGCCGACGAUCUGUAGCUGGUCUGAGAGGACGAUCAGCCACACUGAGACUGAGACGCGGCCCAGACUCCUACGGGAGGAAGCAGUGGGGAAUUUUGGACAAUGGGCGAAAGCCUGAUCCAGCAAUGCCGCGUGCAGGAUGAAGGCCUUCGGGUUGUAAACUGCUUUUGUACGGAACGAAAAGCCCCGGGUUAAUACCCUGGGGUCAUGACGGUACCGUAAGAAUAAGCACCGGCUAACUACGUGCCAGCCGCCGCCGUAA
rnacentral:rRNA from 1 species